GAUGAACGCUAGCUACAGGCUUAACACAUGCAAGUCGAGGGGUAACGAGAGGGAAGCUUGCUUUCCUUGUCGACGACCGGCGCACGGGUGAGUAACGCGUAUCCAACCUGCCCCCAACUAGGGAAUAACCUUGCGAAAGUAAGACUAAUACCCUAUAAUUUCCUCAGAUGACAUCUGACGAGGAAUAAAGAUUUAUCGGUUGUGGAUGGGGAUGCGUCUGAUUAGCUUGUUGGCGGGGUAACGGCCCACCAAGGCAACGAUCAGUAGGGGUUCUGAGAGGAAGGUCCCCCACAUUGGAACUGAGACACGGUCCAAACCCCUACGGGAGGCAGCAGUGAGGAAUAUUGGUCAAUGGGCGGAAGCCUGAACCAGCCAAGUAGCGUGCAGGAUGACGGCCCUAUGGGUUGUAAACUGCUUUUAUACAGGAAUAAAGUUAGCCACGUGUGGUUAUUUGUAGGUACUGUAUGAAUAAGGACCGGCUAAUUCCGUGCCAGCAGCCGCCGUAAAAC
rnacentral:rRNA from 1 species